rnacentral:rRNA from 1 species
UUAACCUCAGCUCAGUCAUGAAUACCCGCUGAAUUUAAGCAUAUAACUAAGCGGAGGAAAAGAAACUAACGAGGAUUUCCCUAGUAACGGCGAGUGAACGGGAAAAAGCCCAGCGCUGAAUCCUUUUAGCCGUUGGCUCUAAGGAACUGUAGCGUAUAGGUGUAACUAUCCAGAUGAUUCGCUCACCCAAAGUCCCCUUGAGCGGGGCUACAGUCCAUAGAAGGUGCUAGGCCUGUACGGGUGGUGAAACGUUUGGUUUGGUUGCACUUUGGAGUCGGGUUGCCUGAGAUCGCAGCCCAAAGUGGGUGGUAAACCUCAUCUAAGGCUAAAUACGGCCACGAGACCGAUAGCAAACAAGUACCGUGAGGGAAAGUUGCAAAGAACUUUGAAGAGAGAGUUCAAGAGGGCGUGAAACCGCUGAGAUGGAAGCGGAUAGCGUUGACAAAACUUAUCGGUAUUCAACCGAUUAAUUUAGCGGUCUUACUGUUCUGUAUCUCUGGUGGUAAAACACAUGGAGAGCAUUGCGGUGAGUUUACUGUUGAAUUGAAUUGGUGUAUUUGCCGGUAGUAUGCGCCGAAAAUUUCGCUAUUGCAUAUUAAGGCAGGAUGUAGUGGACUGUACCAAUUUUGGUAUGGAAACCUGCAUUCUGUUAAAAUAUGUCUACGGUGAAAUUACCAAGUGUAUUGUAACUUUCGAUUCACACAACUGUGUGUAUUGCAUUCAUUGCAUUUUGCAAUUGUUACAAUUUGUAUGCAGUCGCUUGCGACUUUUUGGCUUCAUUUUGUUCUUUGUAAAUGCGGUUCAUGCGAUAAAGUUGCAUUUCGGUGUGAACGUCAUCCACCUAUCCGACCCGUCUUGAAACACGGACCAAGGAGUUUAGCAUAUGCGCAAGCUAUUGGGUGGUAAACCCGUUCAAAAGACACAAUGAAAGUAAAGAUCAUUAUUGUUAUGAUUGUUAUGUGAUCCGUAUUGUUAAUACAUACAAUACGGCGCAACAUGGCCCCGUCCAUGUUUAGCUCUUUGAGCAAACGGGGCGGAGAUAGAGCGUAUACGCUGAGACCCGAAAGAUGGUGAACUAUGCCUGAGCAGGAUGAAGCCAGAGGAAACUCUGGUGGAGGUCCGAAGCGAUUCUGACGUGCAAAUCGAUCGUCCGACUUGGGUAUAGGGGCGAAAGACUAAUCGAACUAUCUAGUAGCUGGUUCCCUCUGAAGUUUCCCCCAGGAUAGCUGGAGUACAGCAAAAGCACAGUUAUAUUCGGUAAAGCGAAUGAUUAGAGGAAUUGGGAACGAAACGUUCUCAACCUAUUCUCAAACUUUCAAUGGGUAUGAAGUUUCGCUUGCUUAACACAUUUUGAAGCGAUAACAUUGAAUGUGUGCUCCAAGUGGGCCAUUUUUGGUAAGCAGAACUGGCGCUGUGGGAUGAACCAAACGUUGAGUUAAAGUGUCAAACUUUCCGCUCAUGAGACCCCAUGAAAGGCGUUGGUUGAUAUAGACAGCAGGACGGUGGCCAUGGAAGUCGGAAGCCGCUAAGGAGUGUGUAAC